ACUAUUUUGGCAGAUUAGUGCAGUAGAUUUAGGUUCUUCAUAUGAAUUAAAUAAUUCAAAUAGUA
rnacentral:tRNA from 1 species